UUCUCUUAGAACUUUACUUAUGGGUAAUAUGAUUGUAACUCAAGUUAGAAUGUUAUCCUUCUCUUACAACUUUACUUAUGGGUAAUAUGAUUGUAACUCAAGUUGGAAUGUUAUCCUUCUCUUAGAACUUUACUUAUGGGUAAUAUGAUUGUAACUCAAGUUGGAAAGUUAUCCUCUUAGAACUUUAUUUAUGGGUAAUAAGAUGUAACUCAAGUUGGAAUGUUACCAGCCAGUGGAAACACCAAAAAAGAAGGGCAGGUGAAGGGAGGAGAAGAAACUUACUUCCCUUUAAUCUAUGCUUUUUCCUUUUUCCAAUUAUAAAAUUUCUCUUCUACCUGCUCCUAGAAAAAUCCCAAGGUUAUCUAUUGUUGCAUAUAAUUUGAUUAAUCAUUGCCUCAAAUCUUACCUGUAGGAGUUCUACUCUGCUUCUUUUUGCAUCAUUAAGGAGUGCAUACUAUUAGGUCUUUGUCCAUACUAAUUAUGUCAUAAAAGCAAGAUUCUGGCUACUUUGAAAAUUUGAUCUUCUCACAUGUUUCUCAAACUUGGGACUCUAUAGGUGCUGCACAUAAUUUCUUCCCUUUAUAAACACAUAUAAUCUGGUGGCCAAAUAUCAAUGAUGAACUAUAAAAUUAGAAUGAUGUGCCAUGAAAAGCCUGUAAAUUUGAGUCACAA
rnacentral:lncRNA from 1 species